rnacentral:miRNA from 10 species
UAUCAGGUUGAUGCAAAAGUAAUUGCAGUUUUUGCUAUUACUUUUAUAUGUCAAAAAACUGCAAUUGCUUUUGCACCAACCUAAUAU